UGCCUCAAGUAGCCCCGUUUGUGUCUGGAAAAUCAAAAUGAAAAUAAAAAAAGGGGGUAGCAACUUUUAUUAAAAGCUGUCAGCGUGGCAAAACCCCAAACAUAUUGCUCCGCUUGGGUUUCGCUUUUCCUCCAGUGCCAGCCAAAGUUGAAACGUCAUCGUGGCUUCAUUACGAAUUCUUCGAAUGGUCCGCACCUUUUGGUGAAAAAGUUAGCUGCCUGCGUGUUGUCCUUUGAUCAAGUUCCAUUUUGAUUCUCACCUGUCUGGCGGCCAGCAGCUGUUCUUUGAUGUCCUGUGCCGGCGACAAGGACUCAAAAGGACGAGGAUAAGCCACGAAGGAGCGCAUCAGGCAUGCAUAAAGCGAGCGCCCAAAUUAGCCCAAUUGACAACUCGCAAAAGGGUUGGCUAACUCUGUUAGAAGCAGGACAAGAGCGCAGGGAAGGAUCGGGCUAACCCUGAUAUGGAUAUUGCCACGCACAGUCCCUAAUUAGAAUCGAUUUGGCUCGAGGGAGAUCCUUUUACCCCGCGACCGCGCCAGCGACCCAUCAAAAAACAAUUAACAAUUUGAGGCACUCAAUAAAAUAUUUAAAUGCUAAAGCAAAGUG
ensembl:ncRNA lncRNA:CR46409 long non-coding RNA:CR46409